rnacentral:rRNA from 1 species
AGAGUUUGAUCCUGGCUCAGGACGAACGCUGGCGGCGUGCUUAACACAUGCAAGUCGAACGAUGAAGGGGAGCUUGCUUCCUGGAUUAGUGGCGAACGGGUGAGUAACACGUGAGUAACCUGCCCUUGACUCUGGGAUAAGCGUUGGAAACGACGUCUAAUACCGGAUAUGACCUGUGACGGCAUCGUCUGCAGGUGGAAAGAAUUUUGGUCAAGGAUGGACUCGCGGCCUAUCAGGUAGUUGGUGAGGUAACGGCUCACCAAGCCGACGACGGGUAGCCGGCCUGAGAGGGUGACCGGCCACACUGGGACUGAGACACGGCCCAGACUCCUACGGGAGGCAGCAGUGGGGAAUAUUGCACAAUGGGCGAAAGCCUGAUGCAGCAACGCCGCGUGAGGGACGACGGCCUUCGGGUUGUAAACCUCUUUAGUUGGGAAGAAGGGAGCUUGCUCUAG